GGGUCGCUAGCUCAGCUGGUAGAGCAACUGACUCUUAAUCAGUAGGCCAAAGGUUCGAAUCCUUUGCGACCCA
rnacentral:tRNA from 1 species